AUAGGUGCAAUAAUGAACUGUAUUAUUAACAACAUAUAUUCAGACGAAGGCCUGUUGUUGGUUACCGAUGGAAAUUUCUUACAAAUGCUGCAAGACAAACAUUGUGUGCCAUCUUCUGUUAUUGUCGCCGUGAAAUACAAAGUUAAUGACCGUCGUGCUUUACUAGUUAAAAUAAAAAAUAAUAUUUUUCUAAACCGUAAAAUGCAUUUAUUUACAGAGAUUUAAUGUUAGACUUGUAUACUCGUUUUAUUUAUUUAAAAAAAACAAAUGCUACCACUUACUUGUAUUUCUCACUAGUUUUGUGAAUAGUGUUUAAUAA